rnacentral:rRNA from 1 species
GGCGAAUGAAACGGGAAAAGCCCAAAUUUGAAAUCUCCUAGCUUUUUGCUAGGCGAGUUGUAAUUUGUAGAAGGUUUUCAUCUGAACUGUGUUUGCUAAAGUCCAUUGGAAUGGCGGGCCUUUAUGGUCCUCAAGUCGUAGAGGGUGACAACCCCGUUCUUGGCAUUCUACUAGUUCUCUUGUAUGAUUCCUUCAAAGAGUCGGAUUGUUUGGGAAUGCAAUCCAAAUGGGUGGUAAAUUCCAUCCAAGGCUAAAUAUUAGCAAGAGACCGAUAGCGAACAAGUACCGUGAGGGAAAGAUGAAAAGAACUCUGAAGAGAGAGUUCAACAGUACGUGAAAUUGCUGAAAGGGAAACGCUUGAAACGAUUGUUGCUCUUGGUUUCGGCCUUGAGCGAGUCAGUAGCAGUUUUGAACGGUAAAGAAGUGCCGGGAGAAGGUAGUUUUCUUUGGAAAAUGUUAUAGCUCCGGGUAACUGUGCCGGUUGAGACUGAGGAUCGCUUUCAAGAGUCUUGUCGAGGAAUUUUGGGCCGUUAGCCCCAAGGCCUUGGGCUUGCUCAAGACUUGGUGUUAACGGUUCAGGACGACCAAACACAAGGCCUUGAAAUAGGUUACUGACAAAAUGGUUUUAAUCGACCCGUCUUGAAACACGGACCAAGGAGUGCAACAAAUUUGCAAGUCGUAGGGUGACAAACCUGAAGGCGCAAUGAAAGUGAAAAAAUACCACCCAGUAACAUGGGACAGUAUUGCCCGGUCUUGCGGCUACUGCCAAAGGAUCUGAGGUAGAGCAAAUUUGCUGCGACCCGAAAGAUGGUGAACUAUGCCUGCAUAGGGCGAAGCCAGAGGAAA